CCGCCAGAGAACUACAAGUGAAAAACUUUAAACUCAAAGGACUUGACGGUGUCCCAUAUCGACCUAGAGGAGCCUGUCCUAUAAUCGAUGCUCCCCGUUCCACCCGACCCCAGCUAGCAAUAAAACAGCCUAUAUACCGCCGUCGACAGUCUACCCUAUGAAGGCCCAACAGUAGAUACAAUAGUCCCCCCCCACUAAUACGACAGGUCAAGGUGUAGCAAAUGCUGGGGAAGAGAUUGGCUACAUUUUUUAUGAUAAAAAAUACGAAAUGCACUAUGAAACACUGCAUGAAGGCGAAUUUAGUAGUAAAAU
rnacentral:rRNA from 1 species